GCGCAUUCUGGAGUGCGCGCGUACGGCGUACGAGCGCGAGCACCGGAGAAUGGACCUCGUCCUGUCAGUCCAGUUCUGGAUUCCAGCUGAUUUGGAGCCUUCAGACCCAAGGAAAAAAAGCUUCCACCAGAGGACUCUAAGAACAAUUUCUAAAUCAUGAGCUGAGGGCUAUUUUCUGCUCCUAGUACUGCGGGGCAAGCAAGUUAAAAAAGAGAGUGGGAGGGAGGGAGGGAAGGAAAGGAAGAGAGAGAGAGAGAGAGAGAGAGAGAGAGAGCGAGCAAAAGAAGAUCCUGCUGCUGGCUGGACAUGCUUCCAGCUGUCAAGGGAAAAUAAGUUUGCUGUCCUCUGUCAGGGCAGGGAGAAAUACAAAAGAAACCCAGAAAGUCCCCAGAGUUGUUUCUUCUUAAUGUCAUCUUCAGGUAGUUAAGGGGAGCCAGGCACCUGGGUUGGUAUUUGAUUCUAGUCCUCCAAUUGAAGAGAAAUUAAAACAUGGAGAAAGUGAAGAAGUUUAAAGCAUUGGAAAGCUAAUGAUACAGUGAAGAAUCACUGGGCCUGCUGGGUAUGGUGGUGCACACCUGUAAUCCCAGCACUUGGGAGGCUGAGGCAGGAGGAUCGCUUCAACUUCACGGCCAGUCUGGGCUACAUAGUGAGUUCAAGGCCAGCCUGAACUACAUAAGGAGACCUCAUCUCAAAAAAUAAAGAAGCACUAGGCCAACAUUUAGGAAGGUAAAACCUCGAGAAUAAACCCAGGAUUUAAAGUGGUUUUUGUCCUAGAGACAUUUGCUAACCUGAGAGUUAUAACUGUGAAAUCAAACUGUUACUGGGCAGUCUUUAGGAGAGGCACAAAAAUUGAAAUCCAGUACUUAGCCAAGGUAGAAAGUCAGAUACCUGACACAUACCUUGACACGUACUUUGAGAGGACCCAUUUCAUUUAUUAUCUGAGUGGUCCAGGAAAGGUCGGCCCUUGAACAUGGAUUAACAUGGGCCCAUUCUUACAGUGCCUCGAUCAUCUGGCAAAGGCAGGCAUAAUUUGGUUCAAGGUAGUAUGCUUUCUGCAGGAAUGUAUUAUCAUCCUGGGCCUCAAAUAUUUCUAAAACUUUUGUCACAUACAAUGUCCAGCCCAUGAUCAGCAGUAAUCAGGUAAACAGACAUACACAGCCAGGCAUGGCACAUGCCUAAAGUCCCGGCACCCAGAAGGCUGAGGCAGGAAGAUUUCCUCAAGUUUGAGGCCAGCUACAAAGUGAGUUCAAGCCUAGACUGAACUGCUGAACUGCAUUAUGAAAUCUUGCCUUAAAAAAAAAAAAAAGAAAAGAAAAAAGGGAAAUGCAAACUGCAAAGGGUCAGUACAAUCACUAGAAAACACAAAUGAAGCCCCAAAGACAAGAUAUUAAAAUUGUCUGGUACCAACCCUAAAAUGGGCUGGGGAUUUAGCUCAGCGGCUUAAGUGCCUGCCUUGCAAGCAGGCAGUCGUGAGUUCGAUCCCUGGUAUCACUGAAAAAGACAAAAAAAAAAAAAGAAAAAAUCCAACCCUAAAAUAAUCCUGGCAUUAAUUUUCUAUAAUUUAAAGGCAAAGGUAAAACAAUCUGUAGAGAAUACAUAACUAUUAAAAGUGCCACAGAAAAUUUUGAUAUAACUUUUAGAACUGAAAAAUACAGUAUCCAAAAUGAACACCAAGGGCUGGGGAUUUAGCUCAGUGGCAUAAGCGCUUAGCUAGCAAGCGCAAGAUCCUGAGUUCAAUCCCCAGUACCGUGAGAAAAAAAAAAAAAGUUGUUGACAAAAUGAAAACCAUGAAUGAAGGGGUUAAAAACAGAUUAGACACAGCUGAAAAUGGACAAGUAUACUAGAAGAUAGGAAGAAAUUGCCUUCAAUAUAGUAUGGAAAGAAAAAACAGUUGGGCGUGGUAGCUCACGCCUGUAAUCCCAGCACUCAGCAGGCUGAGGCAAGAGGAUCCUUGCGAGUUCGAGACCAGCCCAGGCUACAAAGUGAGCUCAAGUCCAGCCUGAACUGCAUAGUGAGACCCUGUCUCAAAAAGACCAAAAAAAACCCACAAAUUUAUAGACUAUGAUGCCAGGUAGCGUAGUGUAAGCCUGUGAUACUGGCUAUUGAGAGGCUGAGUCAGGAGGAGUGCAACUUCAAGCCUAGCUUCAACAACCUAUGAAGGCCCUGGCUCAAAAUUUAUUUCUUUUCUUGUGACUCAAAAUUUUAAAAAUUUAGCUGGGCAUGUGAUACAUGCCUGUAAUGCGCACAGUCAAGAAGCUGAGGCAAGAAGAUCACUAAGUAGAGGCCAGCCUAGGUUAUAUAGCGAGUUUGAGGCCAGCCUGAACUACAUAGUGAUAAAAAAAAAUUUAUUUGGGGCUGGGGAUUUAGCUCAGCAGCAUAAGUGCCUGCCUUGCAAGCAUGUGGUCCGAUUAAAAAAAAUUUUUUUUUAUUUAAAAAGAGGCAAGGGGGGGGGCCUGGGGAUUUAGCUCAGUGGCAUGAGCACCUGCCUUGCAAGCAGGCAGUCAUGAGUUCGAUCCCUGGUACCGAUAAAAAGGAAAAAGACAAAAAAAAAAAAAAAAAAAGAAGCUGGGGGAUGUACUUCAGUGAUAGAGCACUUGCCUACCAUAUGCAAAGUCCUGGGUCCAAUUCCCAGUACAAAUAAAGAAAAGAAAAGAUUUUUAAUUUUUGUACCUCAGAGAAUGACAACUGUGUGAGAAGAUGGAAACCCGUGCCUUGAUUUGACCCUUACACAACAAACACAUGCAUUGAAGCAUUACCUGGUACUGCAUAAAUACAUACAACUUUUGUCAGUUAAAAAAUAAAAUUUAAUAAAAUAAUGUUAAAGCA